CAGAACAGCCUCUAAUGACGCCUCCACUGGUAGAAACAUCUGAGAAUGUUGAUGAAUGCCAACAGGUUUGAUGGGAG
rnacentral:snoRNA from 1 species